UAGCCUAGUUGUUAAGGCUAUGGAUUGCCAAUCCGGAGACGGCGGGUUCGAUUCCCGU
rfam:Aedes albopictus isolate Foshan contig112813, whole genome shotgun sequence.